ACACUGACCCACACCCAGUGUCUGCUCUCUCCUAGUUGUGGAAGAUAUUGAUAAGUGCCGGGAGCCAAUCCCCCAGCCUGGAGGCCAUCUACCUGCCCAGCCUUGUGGAGAAGUCGGUGCAGGCUCUGAUCAGUGACUUCCAGGGCACCCCCACCUUCAACUACAAGGCAGCUCACGUCUUCUUCAUCAGCUCCUGUCCUGAGCCUCUGUUCAAGGGACUGAGGAAGUCACGGAUCACCAAGGCCAUCAAAACACUCAAAGAGAUCAACCUGGCCUUCCUGCCCUACGAGAGCCAAGUGUACUCCCUGGACAGGCCACAGACCUUCAAAAUGGUUCAGCCCCUACAGCUCUUUGGAAAAGAACAAGCAACUGGAGAUGAUGGCAGAGCAGAUUGCCACAUUGUGUGAAACCCUGGAGGAGUAUCCAGCCAUCGCUACCGGAAGGACAUGAAGAUAACUUCCACCUGGCACACGCUGUGCUGGCCAAACUCAAGGCAUUCAAGGUAUACAAGCCCACAUAGGAGAGGGACCAACGGGGACUCAGAGGACAAGGAGGAGGAGGAGGAGGAAUGGGUGGACGUGGCUACAGAGGAGGCUGCUCUCAACAUCAUCCAAAAGUAGCUCCAGGGCAGAGAAAAGGUGCAGGAUGAGGCCCAGCAGCUCAUGUGCCUUCACGCCAUCCACCCCACGUCUCACUGCACAGCAGAAAAUGCGGGACACACUGGAGCCGCACUGCUGCCCUUCUAUGAAAUGAACUGGUUGAGUCUGCUCCAGUUCUCUUGUCUGUAAUCAGGAGGCUAAAAUGAAUGAGGGAUGGUUUUAUGAUUACAACAUGGCCAAGGCCGGCUCCAGCUUUUCUGCUACCCCAAUCGCAAAAAAAGAAAAAGAAAAAAGAGCAGCAGCACUUCAGGAGUAACUUAUUGCUAAUAUGGGGAAGUCUCUGGGAGAAGAGGCCGUUCUGGUCAGCU